rnacentral:rRNA from 1 species
CACACGACUCUCGGCAACGGAUAUCUUGGCUCCCGCAUCGAUGAAGAACGUAGCGAAAUGCGAUACCUGGUGUGAAUUGCAGAAUCCCGUGAACCAUCGAGUCUUUGAACGCAAGUUGCGCCCGAGGCCAUUCGGCCGAGGGCACGCCUGCCUGGGCGUCACGC